GGGAGGCACUGUCAGACUCUGUGAAGAACGGCUUUAAUUGGUCAGCCAGAAGAGAAUUCCUGGAAUCUGUGGAGGUGAAACUGGAUCUCCUGUUGUGUAGAAACUUCUACACUGGAAGUUGAUACAGGAAUCGAGGAGUUUGAAAAUAUUUCAAAGCUGCAAGAUUCUCGGUUAUCCAAGAACAGAUCCAGGCUCUCUAAGGUCAAGACACCAAAGCUCAGAUUUAAGAAACAGAGAAACGGGGAGGAACCCAUGACUGUCCUAUGAGAAGGAGAUUGAGGAGAAUCCUGUUCCAACUGGUUAAUUACUCUCCAAGGAUCGACUAGACCAGGGGUCGGCAACCUUUAACACCCAAAGAGCCAUUUGAACCAGGUUUCCACAAAAAACACAACACUGGGAGCCGCAAAUACUUUUUGACAUCUAAAAUGAAGAUAUGGAGACGGCGAAGGAUGAGAAACCCUGCAGCACCUUUCAGUCGUCUCCACUGAAAAAUGUCAGAGAGUCAAUCAGAGCAGAGGACUGCACAGGUGCUCUGGGUGCAGAAUCUGCUGGAAAAAACAACCCAGCUGGCCCAAAACCCAAGAAGAAGAACCGAGUCAGUGCCUUCUUCAGACGAGUGUGGCAGAGAGUCAGACUGACCUGCAGCUGUUGCUGCUACAAGAAGAUUCACCCUGCUGAUGAAUUUUCCCCAUUCUGAAGUUUUUAUUUCUCCUUUCCUUCCAUCACUCUUUUCCCCUAAAUUCUACAGUUUGUUCAUUAUGAUCAGUUUUAUAACUCGUACAGUAAGAAUGGGUGCUGAUCAAACAGUAUAUGGUUCCUCCU